CACGUAGGAGGCGAGCGUUGUCCGGAAUCAUUGGGCGUAAAGAGCGCGCAGGCGGCUUGGCAAGUCGGGUGUGAAAUCCCGGGGCUCAACCCCGUGACUGCAUCCGAUACUGUCAGGCUAGAGGUAGGUAGGGGAGAUCGGAAUUCCUGGUGUAGCGGUGAAAUGCGCAGAUAUCAGGAGGAACACCGGUGGCGAAGGCGGAUCUCUGGGCCUUACCUGACGCUCAGGCGCGAAAGCCAGGGGAGCGAACGGG
rnacentral:rRNA from 1 species